AGGCAGAUUCAAACAACAGAUGAAACUUGAGACAAAAUUCAGUUUUGACCUCAUUCAAACAGAACGACAUGUUCUUAAUCAAACAGUCAGAGAGUUGUCGGUGUAUAUAUUUUCGAGUGGAAUGAGGUUUUCUUUGGGACCUUUGGAAGGGAAGCUUCCAUCCGUCUGAGCAGCUGAGGACCUCAGUGGCACCACGACGAGCUGCCUGCAGCGCUGCCAACAUGGUGUCGCUGAAGCUCACCCUGCUGGCCGUGCUGGCCAUCGGACUCGUAGCUUCAGACUCAACGUCAUCAUCACAAAAACUGGGAGACAGAAGCAUUGGACAAUCUAAGCUUGGAGGAAAAGAAAAGGAUGACAGCACAUCAACUGAAGAAAGCCACAGUCCUGAGAGGUCAGACAACAUUUAAGGACACACUUUGUCUCUUGAUUUUCAGUCUCUCCAUGU
rnacentral:lncRNA from 1 species